rnacentral:rRNA from 1 species
UUCGCAAUGCCCGAAAGGGUGAACGAGCGACGCCGCGUGCGGGAUGAAGGGUUUCGGCUUGUAAACCGCUUUUCUUUGGGAAGAAGGUCUGUCUCGUGCAGAUGGGCUCGACGGUACCAGAGGAAUAAGCCUCGGCUAACUCCGUGCCAGCAGCCGCGGUAAGACGGAGGAGGCAAGCGUUGUUCGGAUUUACUGGGCGUAAAGGGUGUGUAGGCGGUUGCGUCAGUCUGGUGUGAAAUCUUCACCGCUCAACGGGAAGGAGCCACUGGAAACUGCGCAACUCGAGUGUGGUAGAGGCUAGCGGAAUUCCUGGUGUAGCGGUGGAAUGUGUAGAUAUCAGGAAGAACAUCUGUGGCGAAGGCGGCUGGCUGGGCCAUCACUGACGCUGAGACACGAAAGCGUGGGGAGCGAACGGGAUUAGAUACCCCGGUAGUCCACGCUGUAAACGGUGGGCACUAAGUAGAGGGGUUUU